UGGGGAAUAUUGCGCAAUGGGCGAAAGCCUGACGCAGCGACGCCGCGUGAGGGAUGAAGGCCUUCGGGUUGUAAACCUCUGUCGCGAGGGACGAAGCUCUGACGGUACCUCGAAAGGAAGCACCGGCUAACUCUGUGCCAGCAGCCGCGGUAAUACAGAGGGUGCGAGCGUUGUCCGGAAUCACUGGGCGUAAAGGGCGCGUAGGCGGCCUGGUAAGUCGGGGGUGAAACGCUGCGGCUCAACCGCAGCACUGCCUUCGAGACUGUCAGGCUUGAGCACGGUAGAGGCUGGUGGAAUUCCCGGUGUAGCGGUGGAAUGCGUAGAGAUCGGGAAGAACAUCGGUGGCGAAGGCGGCCAGCUGGGCCGUUGCUGACGCUGAGGCGCGACAGCGUGGGGAGCAAACAGG
rnacentral:rRNA from 1 species